rnacentral:rRNA from 1 species
AAGUCGAACGGCAGCACGGGAGCAAUCCUGGUGGCGAGUGGCGAACGGGUGAGUAAUAUAUCGGAACGUGCCCGGUCGUGGGGGAUAACGUAGCGAAAGCUACGCUAAUACCGCAUACGAUCUACGGAUGAAAGCGGGGAUCGCAAGACCUCGCGCGAUUGGAGCGGCCGAUAUCAGAUUAGGUAGUUGGUGAGGUAAAGGCUCACCAAGCCGACGAUCUGUAGCUGGUCUGAGAGGACGACCAGCCACACUGGGACUGAGACACGGCCCAGACUCCUACGGGAGGCAGCAGUGGGGAAUUUUGGACAAUGGGCGCAAGCCUGAUCCAGCAAUGCCGCGUGCAGGAUGAAGGCCUUCGGGUUGUAAACUGCUUUUGUACGGAACGAAACGGUGAGCUCUAAUACAGUUUGCUAAUGACGGUACCGUAAGAAUAAGCACCGGCUAACUACGUG